UUCAGUUUCAAAACCUGAUGUGAUCUCCCAGCUGGAACAAGCGGAAGAACCAUGGGUCCCAGACCUCCAGGGUUCAGAGGAAAGAGAGAUCCUGAGAUCUCCCUGCACAGCAGGUGAUGCAAUAGUAUGUGAAAAAGAGGAGCAGAAUUCGCAGCACGAAAAUGUUGAGCAAGUGGAUAAACACAGGGAAUUAUCGCAAAGACCGAAAAGGAAUGUGUCCACGAGUCAUGAACAGGUACAAUCCUGUGAGAUUCAGCACAGACCAGAAAAGCAGCAGGGAAACCAACCACGGGAAAAAGUGGGUAAAUUUAUUUCCUAUCGAAGGAUAUCAAGGAAACCACAACACAACAGGAAAUCUUCAGGGGAAAGAGGAAAAAAUACAUGCAGUGAAUGUGGGAAAAACUUAUGUUACUACUUAGCCCUUAUAAAGCAUCAGAAAAUUCACACAGAUGAGAAACCCUGUGAAUGAAGUGAGUGUGGGAAAACCUUUAGUCAAUGCUCAAUCCUUGUUAGGCAUCAGAGAAUCCACACAGGGGAGAGGCCCUAUGAAUGCAGUGAGUGUGGGAAAAACUUCACUCAAAGAUCAAGACUUCUUAGUCAUCAGAGAAUCCACAUAGGGAAGAGGCCCUAUGAAUGCAGUGAGUGUGGGAAUACCUUCUUGGCACUCAGCCCAUGUUAGCCAUCAGAGAAUCUGCAAGGGAGAUCAAGACCAUACAAAACUCUAGGGGUAUCAAGACUUUUUUUUUCUUUAAUACUUUGGCUGAUUCCCACAUAGAAACUUUUAAAGCUGUUUGAACUGUUUGUAGCACCCUUAUCCCUCAGCUUGUCCAGAUGAGUGGCCCAUUUUUGCUUUUUGCAGUUCACCCUGUUUUGAUGUGGACACAUUUGUCCGUUUUAUCAACACCAUUGUCCCAUGCGUAAUUCGAGUGUGUCCUUCCUAUCAGGAGCCAGGGGGCAUCACAUUUAUACCAUUCCUCCUAUUACAAAGUUAUUGUUAGAGUAAUCAAUGAUACAGAUUGUAUCAUUGCCAGUUGUUCUCAUGUUGCUCUAGGUUGUGUGGAAGAGCAAUUAUAUUGGGACCUUUUCAAAUUAUAUUAUUUAAACGAAGAGGAGUAGGGGUAGGAAAGUGUCAUUUCAGCCUCUGUGACACUGGAAAGAGAUGGGGUGUCUCAGAGAUUCCUUCCUUCCCCAUAACUGCAGAACUGUUACCUUUUGUCUGAGCUAUUGUGGAAGUAGAGAAAGAAUCCUGUCGGGUCUGUGGGGAGGAUGCAUGUGAGAUUGGGUAAUUCACAGAGACAUUUGGGAAAUUAGACCACCUGGUGAGCCUAAUCAAUUUUUAGUCAGUGCUCCUGGGAUAACACCCGACAUUUGGAUGGGGUUAGGGAAUCAAUGGACAUUUUGGCAGUUAGAACCUCCACAGCUUCAGUGUGUACGUAAACUGAAGCCAGGGGAAGUUGUCACUGUUCAUGACUACGUUUGCUGGGAGGGUAGGGGACAAGGAAUUACCCUGACAGGACACCUACUUUUCCAAUCUAAUGAUAGCUGUGUGUAUGUUGAAGCCACCAUGUUGCGAGAUAUACAUUUUAAUCUCACUACUGCUGCAGGCAGUCAAAUUAUUUACUGGCCUGUGCAUAGAAUUUUACAAGUAGCCCUUAGGUUUCAGAUGCCCUUUAAUUGGACUAGUUUAGUACCUGAUCAGUUUCAAAUUUUGCUUUCACUGCUACCAGAGGUUCAUCCGAAGAAGUGGGCUGUAGUCCACGAAAGCUUAUGCUCUAAUAAAUUUGUUAGUCUCUAAGGUGCCACAAGUACUCCUGUUCUUCUUUUUGCGGAUACAGACUAACACGGCUGUUACUCUGAAACUUGAAUUACAAGGGCAAAUUCAUAUGCUUUAAAAUAUAUAUCAAGUUGAAAAGUAUGCCUUUCAUACAGCUUAAAGAGUGUCUAUUUUAUGUACCAAGUAUGAUGUAUUGUGCUUUGUGACUGAAACUGUACAACAACCCCAUCAUAUUAUUACUGUGGGAAUGUUACUGCUUUUAUUGUUAUUUGGUUUAGGAUUAUGUUAUUGUUGUUGUAAAGGACUUGAUAAUAGUAAUACCUUUCAUGUCCAUGCUAAUCAUGCAUUGUCAUUGCAUCCAAUCAAAACCCCUAAGGUUGAAGCAUUUGAUGUAGAAUCUGAAAUCCAAGGCUUGGUGCAAAUGGAGAUUUAAGGAUGUUAGUUGUGCUAGAAGCACAAAAGUGGGGGGAAGUAGAGAAAGAACUGACAGGGAUUUCAAGGGGAUUUCAAUGCAAACAGUCCCUUCUGUGAGCAAGAGUCAGGCUAGCUGUAACCCUAAUAACACGAGAUUUGUAGACUGUGUGAGGCGAGUGGGAAAGAACUGUGUGAGAAGUUCUUGCAACCUUGUGUUAGAUAAGUAUGGCAUGUAGACUAUAGUCUAAUAAGAGGUAAGAAAAAUAAGAUAUCAGGAUGACCUAUGUAUAAACAAAAUGCAGCUGUUGCUCAUUAUUGUAUGUAACAAAAAGUAUAAAUGCUUGCUGUAAUUGUUUACCUGUAAAGAGACCUGUUUAGCUCUCUCCCUCCACACAAUUGCUAGAGAUAAUAAAGUAUCUGACUUCCUGCACCUGA